rnacentral:rRNA from 1 species
UACGAAGGGUGCAAACGUUGCUCGGAUUUAUUGGGCGUAAAGCGUGCGUAGGCGGCUGCGCAAGUCGGUUGUGAAACCCCGGGGCUCAACCCCGGAACUGCAUCCGAUACUGCGUGGCUAGAGGUAGGUAGGGGAGAUCGGAAUUCCUGGUGUAGCGGUGAAAUGCGCAGAUAUCAGGAGGAACACCGGUGGCGAAGGCGGAUCUCUGGGCCUUACCUGACGCUCAGGCACGAAAGCUAGGGGAGCGAACAGG